AGAGUUUGAUUCUGGCUCAGGACGAACGCUGGCGGCGUGCUUAACACAUGCAAGUCUACGAGAAAGAGGUAGCAAUAUCUUGAUUAAAGUGGCGCACGGGUGAGUAACACGUAAGCAAUCUACCCUUAGAUCUGGAAUAACUUCGAGAAAUCGAGGCUAAUACCGGGUAAUGCAGCGGCACCGCAUGGUGAUGUUGUUAAAGUUUCGAUGUCUAAGGAUGAGCUUGCGUCUGAUUAGCUAGUUGGUGAGGGUAACGGCCCACCAAGGCUACGAUCAGUAGCUGGUCUGAGAGGAUGAUCAGCCACACUGGAACUGAGACACGGUCCAGACUCCUACGGGAGGCAGCAGUGAGGAAUAUUGGGCAAUGCCCGCAAGGGUGACCCAGCAACGCCGCGUGGAGGAUGAAUGCCGUAAGGUUGUAAACUCCUGUUAGAGGGGAAGAAUAAUUCCGAUUGCAUCGGAACUUGACUGUACCCUCAGAGAAAGCCCCGGCUAACUACGUGCCAGCCGCCGCGGUAA
rnacentral:rRNA from 1 species